GUUCUUUGGAACAGGACGUCACAGAGGGUGAGAAUCCCGUACGUGGUCGCUAGCCCUCACCGUGUAAAGGCCCCUUCGACGAGUCGAGUUGUUUGGGAAUGCAGCUCUAAAUGGGAGGNAAAUUUCUUCUAAAGCUAAAUACUGGCCAGAGACCGAUAGCGCACAAGUAGAGUGAUCGAAAGAUGAAAAGCACUUUGGAAAGAGAGUCAAAUAGCACGUGAAAUUGUUGAAAGGGAAGCGCUUGCAGCCAGACUUGCCUGUAGUUGCUUAUCCGGACUUUUGUCCGGGGGCACUCUUCUGCGGGGGAGGCCAG
rnacentral:rRNA from 1 species